rnacentral:rRNA from 1 species
CGAGUCAUUGUAGCAAUACAAGGCAGGCGGCUCAGUAACGCGUAGUCAACCUAACCUAUGGACGGGGAUAACCUCGGGAAACUGGGAAUAAUACCCGAUAGAACAUUAUGCCUGGAAUGGUUUAUGUUUCAAAUAAUUUAUUGCCGUAGGAUGGGACUGCGGCCUAUCAGUUUGUUGGUGAGGUAAUGGCCCACCAAGACUAUUACAGGUACGGGCUCUGAGAGGAGUAGCCCGGAGAUGGGUACUGAGACACGGACCCAGGCCCUAUGGGGCGCAGCAGGCGAGAAAACUUUGCAAUGUGCGCAAGCACGACAAGGUUAAUCCGAGUGUUUCCUGCUAAAGGAAUCUUUUGUUAGUUCUAAAACCACUAAUGAAUAAGGGGUGGGCAAGUUCUGGUGUCAGCCGCCGCGGUAAAACCAGCACCUCAAGUGGUCAGGAGGAUUAUUGGGCCUAAAGCAUCCGUAGCCUGUUCUAUAAGUUUCCGGUUAAAUCCAUUAGCUCAACUAAUGGGCCGCCGAAAAUACUGUGGAACUAGGGAGUGGGAGAGGUAGACGGUACUCGGUAGGAAGGGGUAAAAUCCUUUGAUCUAUUGAUGACCACCUGUGGCGAAGGCGGUCUACCAGAACACGUUCGACGGUGAGGGAUGAAAGCUGGGGGAGCAAACCGGAUUAGAUACCCGGGUAGUCCCAGCUGUAAACGAUGCAGACUCGGUGAUGCGCUGGCUUGUGGCCAGUGCAGUGCCGCAGGGAAGCCGUUAAGUUUGCCGCCUGGGAAGUACGUACGC